GAACUUAUAGCUCAGUGGUAGAGCGGUCGACUGCAGAUCGGCAGGUCGUUGGAUCAACCGGGCCGGAUUCU